UACGUAGGGGGCUAGCGUUGUCCGGAUUUAUUGGGCGUAAAGAGCGUGUAGGCGGUUCGGUAGGUCCGUUGUGAAAACUCGAGGCUCAACCUCGAGACGCCGAUGGAAACCAUCGAACUAGAGUCCGGAAGAGGAGAGUGGAAUUCCUGGUGUAGCGGUGAAAUGCGCAGAUAUCAGGAAGAACACCCGUGGCUAAGGCGGCUCUCUAGUACGGUACUGACGCUGAGACGCGAAAGCGUGGGGAGCGAACAGG
rnacentral:rRNA from 1 species